rnacentral:rRNA from 1 species
GACGAACGCUGGCGGCGUGCUUAACACAUGCAAGUCGAGCGGUAAGGCCCUUUCGGGGUACGACGAGCGGCGAACGGGUGAGUAACACGUGGGUGACCUGCCCUCAGCUCUGGGAUAAGCCUGGGAAACCGGGUCUAAUACUGGAUAUGACUCCAUGACGCAUGUUGUGGGGUGGAAAGCCUUGUGCGGCUGAGGAUGGGCCCGCGGCCUAUCAGCUUGUUGGUGGGGUGAUGGCCUACCAAGGCGACGACGGGUAGCCGGCCUGAGAGGGCGACCGGCCACACUGGGACUGAGACACGGCCCAGACUCCUACGGGAGGCAGCAGUGGGGAAUCUUGCGCAAUGGGCGAAAGCCUGACGCAGCGACGCCGCGUGAGGGAUGACGGCCU